AGGGUUCUGUCCUGAGACAUCUA
rnacentral:siRNA from 1 species